CCUACGGGUGGCAGCAGUGAGGAAUAUUGGUCAAUGGACGAGAGUCUGAACCAGCCAAGUAGCGUGAAGGAUGACUGCCCUCUGGGUUGUAAACUUCUUUUAUAUGGGAAUAAAAUGUUCCACGUGUGGGAUUUUGUAUGUACCAUAUGAAUAAGGAUCGGCUAACUCCGUGCCAGCAGCCGCGGUAAUACGGAGGGUCCGAGCGUUAUCCGGAUUUAUUGGGUUUAAAGGGAGCGUAGGUGGAUUGUUAAGUCAGUUGUGAAAGUUUGCGGCUCAACCGGAAAAUUGCAGUUGAAACUGGCAGUCUUGAGUACAGUAGAGGUUGGUGGAAUUCGUGGUGUAGCGGUGAAAUGCGUAGAUAUCACGAAGAACUCCGAUUGCGAAGGCAGUUCACUGGACUGCAACUGACACUGAGGCUCGAAAGUGUGGGUAUCAAACAGGAUUAGAUACCCUUGUAGUC
rnacentral:rRNA from 1 species